GAUGAAGAACGCAGCGAACUGCGAUAAGUAAUGUGAAUUGCAGAAUUCAGUGAAUCAUCGAGUCUUUGAACGCACAUUGCGCCCCCUGGCAUUCCGGGGGGCAUGCCUGUCCGAGCGCCAUUGCUGCCCUUCAAGCCCGGCUUGUGUGUUGGGUCGUCGUCCCCCCCGGGGGACGGGCCCGAAAGGCAGCGGCGGCACCGCGUCCGGUCCUCGAGCGUAUGGGGCUUUGUCACCCGCUCGAUUAGGGCCGGCCGGGCGCCAGCCGGCGUCUCCAACCUUCUAUUUUACCAGGUUGACCUCGGAUCAGGUAGGGAUACCCGCUGAACUUAAGCAUAUCAAUAAGCGGAGGA
rnacentral:misc_RNA from 1 species